rnacentral:rRNA from 1 species
UAUUCCCCACUGCUGCCUCCCGUAGGAGUCUGGGCCGUGUCUCAGUCCCAAUGUGGCCGUUCAACCUCUCAGUCCGGCUACCGAUCGUCGACUUGGUGGGCCGUUACCUCACCAACUAUCUAAUCGGACGCGAGUCCAUCUCAGACCACCGGAGUUUUUCACACCGCUCCAUGCGGAGCUGUGCGCUUAUGCGGUAUUACCAGCCGUUUCCAGCUGCUAUCCCCCGGUCUGAGGCAGGUUCCCCACGCGUUACUCACCCGUCCGCCACUAUGCUGCUGCUGAUUCUGCCGAAGCUUCCUCUGCAGCAGCACCGUCCGACUUGCAUGUGUUAGGCACGCCGCCAGCGUUCAUCCUGAGCCAA